rnacentral:rRNA from 1 species
AGCAGCCGCGGUAAUUCCAGCUCCAAUAGCGUAUAUUAAAGUUGUUGCAGUUAAAAAGCUCGUAGUUGAAUUUCGGGGUCAGUAGGUCGGUCGUGCCACUGGUAUGAACUGGUUUUACUGAUUCCUCCCUCUUGAAGAACUGUAAUGCCAUUAAUUUGGUGUUGCAGGGAAUCAGGACUGUUACUUUGAAAAAAUUUAGAGUGUUUAAAGCAGGCUUUAGCUUGAAUACAUUAGCAUGGAAUAAUGAAAUAGGACGUUUGAUCCUAUUUUGUUGGUUUCUAGGAUUGACGUAAUGAUUAAUAGGGAUAGUUGGGGGCAUUAGUAUUCAAUUGUCAGAGGUGAAAUUCUUGGAUUUAUUGAAGACUAACUACUGCGAAAGCAUUUGCCAAGGAUGUUUUCAUUAAUCAAGAACGAAAGUUAGGGGAUCGAAGACGAUCAGAUACCGUCGUAGUCUUAACCAUAAACUAUGCCGACUAGGAAUCAGACGAUGUUAAUUUUUUUCAAUGACUCGUUUGGCACC